ACUUUUAAGUUUAACUUACAUUACUAACCAUUUCUCCAUCACUUUUUUAAACAGAUCAUCAACAAAGCAAUAAAUCAAGUGCUGGUUUGCCGUGUUCAUCUGUUUUCAAGAUGUACAUGCUGACACUAAAAAUUUAACAAGUGACUCUUCAGAUCUGAUUAUGGUGUUCUAGGAAAAUGACCAAAUAAAAAGUUCUGGCCAUAUCUAAUCCUCUCCCACUUCUCCUCAAAUAUAAGAUGGAUGGAAGAAAUCAGACACAUAAUCUUCUCCAAAACCUCCAUUUUAUAAAUGUGGAAACUGAGGCUCAGAAUGACUUGAUCAAAAUCAAACAGGUAGUAAGUAGUAACAAAAUUGGAACUCAGAUUAUUGAAGGGUAUCAGAAAGCAA
rnacentral:lncRNA from 1 species